rnacentral:rRNA from 1 species
GAUAAACGCUGGCGGCAUGCCUAAUACAUGCAAGUCGAACGAAGGUGCUUGCACCUUAGUGGCGAACGGGUGAGUAACACUUAUCUAAUCUACCUUUUAGUGGGGGAUAGCCUUUGGAAACGAAGGGUAAUACCGCAUAAGAUCACCAUUAUGGCAUCGGAAGGUGAGGAAAGGCCCGUUUGGGUCGCUAAAAGAUGAGGAUGAGGCGUAUUAGCUAGUAGGUGAGAUAAUAGCUCACCUAGGCGAUGAUACGUAGCCGAACUGAGAGGUUGAUCGGCCACAUUGGGACUGAGAUACGGCCCAGACUCCUACGGGAGGCAGCAGUAGGGAAUUUUUCACAAUGGACGAAAGUCUGAUGAAGCAAUGCCGCGUGAGUGAUGAAGGUCUUCGGAUUGUAAAACUCUGUUGUAAGGGAAGAAAUGAUAGAAGAGGAAAUGCUUCUAUUUGACGGU